CAAAACCCGAUCCCAUCUCGAACUCGGCCGUUAAACGCACCAGCGCCCAUGGUACUGUGUCUCAAGGCACGGGAGAGUCGGUCGCCGCCA
rnacentral:rRNA from 1 species